GAUGAGGAUGACGAAGCAGCAGCAGCAGCAACAGGGGACUUGCAUUUAGCGCGAGCCAUCGACACAAAAAAAAUGGUGAAAUCUGACAAUGGCUUUUCGAUAAGAGAAGAUUGAAGAGGAAAAGAGAGAUGUGAGGUUUGAUGAGUUUAGGUUUGUUUUGCCAGAAAGAAAAUGGGUUUGUUUUGGAGGUGUAUUGUCAUGAACCAAUGCAGAGGAGAGAGAGGGUGACG
rnacentral:misc_RNA from 1 species